rnacentral:rRNA from 1 species
UCCGGUUGAUCCUGCCGGACCUGACUGCUAUCGGAUUGAUACUAAGCCAUGCGAGUCAUUGUAGCAAUACAAGGCAUACGGCUCAGUAACGCGUAGUCAACCUAACCUAUGGACGGGAAUAACCUCGGGAAACUGAGAAUAAUGCCCGAUAGAACACUAUACCUGGAAUGGUUUGUGUUCCAAAUGAUUUAUCGCCAUAGGAUGGGACUGCGGCCUAUCAGUUUGUUGGUGAGGUAAUGGCCCACCAAGACUAUUACAGGUACGGGCUCUGAGAGGAGUAGCCCGGAGAUGGGUACUGAGACACGGACCCAGGCCCUAUGGGGCGCAGCAGGCGAGAAAACUUUGCAAUGUGCGAAAGCACGACAAGGUUAAUCCGAGUGAUUUGUGCUAAACGAAUCUUUUGUUAGUCCUAGAAACACUAACGAAUAAGGGGUGGGCAAGUUCUGGUGUCAGCCGCCGCGGUAAAACCAGCACCUCAAGUGGUCAGGAUGAUUAUUGGGCCUAAAGCAUCCGUAGCCGGCUCUGUAAGUUUUCGGUUAAAUCUGUACGCUUAACGUACAGGCUGCCGGGAAUACUGCAGAGCUAGGGAGUGGGAGAGGUAGACGGUACUCGGUAGGAAGUGGUAAAAUGCUUUGAUCUAUCGAUGACCACCUGUGGCGAAGGCGGUCUACCAGAACACGUCCGACGGUGAGGGAUGAAAGCUGGGGGAGCAAACCGGAUUAGAUACCCGGGUAGUCCCAGCUGUAAACUAUGCAAACUCAGUGAUGCAUUGGCUUGUGGCCAAUGCAGUGCUGCAGGGAAGCCGUUAAGUUUGCCGCCUGGGAAGUACGUUCGCAAGUAUGAAACUUAAAGGAAUUGGCGGGGGAGCACCACAAGGGGUGAAGCCUGCGGUUCAAUUGGAUUCAACGCCGGA